rnacentral:lncRNA from 1 species
GCUGCCUCGUUAAUUCAGAAGUGUGUGCUGCGUUCCUACUGUGGGGAUGGCAGGGUUCCUCCUGCUGGGGCAGGCUGGGCUCUGCUCGCAGGGAGCCGACGUGUGUGUGUGUGUGUGUGUGUGUGUGUGUGUGUGUGUGUGGACCCAGCCCGUGGUCAGGGGCUUUGCUGGGGGCACUUGAGCUCUGCUUGGGGCUGUCCAAAUGCUAGCUGAGGGGGGCCCGGAGACAAGCGGACAUGAGGGUCUGUCUCCCGGAUGAGGGGAGAGGAGGGUACCAGGUCUGUGGCCUGGGGACAAAACAACGGCUUCUGGGUGGCCCAGAGAUUGGUGUUUCCUUGUUUCCAAGAUUUGGAGGGUAACAUUAGUAUCUUCUGCUUUCAGGACUUCACAGGGGAGAACAGGAAAGUUGCCAUUUUCAAAGCGAAGAUCUUUGAAAACUCCACAGGUCUGAGCCAAAAGUGUUGGAGCAGAGGAUGCUUGAGAGCAAGUGGAAAGCACUGGAGGAGUUCUUGUGGAAAGACACAAGUGUCAGGACCAGAAGCUCAACUGAGUCACUCCAGCCUGUUCUCCACUAACCGGGUCACGUCACUGUUCAGACAUUUUCAGGCCUCUUGGUUGCCUUCUGGGUCCAGGUUGGCAGACAAGAGGGGCUCCUUGAUGAGUGAAGGGGGCACACUAUGAAGCUGGAGGAGCUGAGCUCCGCUCCUGACUCCGCACUGAUACUUUUCCCUUUGGGAGCCUCAGAUCGCCUGUCUCUAAAGUGGGACAGUUCAAAUCCAGCUCUGACUCUGGCCCACGCCGUCUCCCCUACACUAUGGCAUCCGCCAUGUUUGAAAAGUGAGUGAAUGACUCUUCAAGGUCACGUGGUCUGAUCCACAUCUCUCCCUUCCCAUCCAAUCCUUCAGUGUCCUCAACGUCAUCAACAAAGUCUUAGGAUCGAAUCCCUGGGUACGACGGUUGUGGAACCUGCCCAAGGUCACGCAGCCGGGAGGAGGUGCGGUCUGCCUGACCUCAGGAUGUCUGGCUUCGUAGCUGUACUUUGAGGUGAUAUGCUGUCUAGAUUUCAGCCGUGGUGAUUUCUGCUCCGGACGAUUUUUCCAGCCUGCAGAAAAACACCUUGAAACAUCAAGCAAGUCCAUUUACAUUUGGUUCCUUUAUUUUGAGUUCAUUCAUCAGAUUUCCUAAUGAUUCAUGCAUCUCUUUAAUGCCCCU